rnacentral:rRNA from 1 species
UACGGAGGGGGCAAGCGUUGUUCGGAAUUACUGGGCGUAAAGGGCGCGCAGGCGGCUGCUCAAGUCAGGCGUGAAAGGCCUGGGCUCAACCCGGGAAUUGCGCUUGAGACUGGGCUGGCUUGAGUGCGGGAGAGGAUGGUGGAAUUCCCAGUGUAGAGGUGAAAUUCGUAGAUAUUGGGAAGAACACCGGUGGCGAAGGCGGCCUUCUGGACGGAUACUGACGCUGAGGCGCGAAAGCCAGGGGAGCAAACGGG